rnacentral:rRNA from 1 species
UACGUAGGGUGCAAGCGUUAAUCGGAAUUACUGGGCGUAAAGCGUGCGCAGGCGGUGAUGUAAGACAGAUGUGAAAUCCCCGGGCUCAACCUGGGAACUGCAUUUGUGACUGCAUCGCUAGAGUACGGCAGAGGGGGAUGGAAUUCCGCGUGUAGCAGUGAAAUGCGUAGAUAUGCGGAGGAACACCGAUGGCGAAGGCAGUCCCCUGGGCCUGUACUGACGCUCAUGCACGAAAGCGUGGGGAGCAAACAGG